UUAAAUUGCAGUGCUCGUUUAUUAGUGGUGUAUUAAUACAUGGACCCCAGAUAUAAAUUACACAUACAUUAUUAGACAUGAACAAAAUUCUAGCAGCAAAGAGUGUAAUACUGUACCAUACAUAUGUUAAACAUAGUCAAUAGGCAGAAAUAAGCAAGGCCAAGAUUUAUCUGCCUUUGUAGUAAUAGACAUGCUGAUUUCAGUACUGACAACAAUUGUAUGUAAACAAUGGAAAUUAACAAGUUAUCUUACUGUUUCAUUCACAUAUUUUUUCUUAGUUAAUAACAAAUAUUGCUGUCCAUAUGGCAUAUGAAUAUGUACUCAGCCCAAUUUGUUUCAAGAAAUCUGCAAAAUGUAUAAUUGUUAAGUAAUAACCCAUACUACUGAUCUCUUUGAGUGCUAGUAGCAUUAAUGUCUCCAAUAGUUUUUCCAUUUAUUAAAGUUUAAGAGACUUUCACAGAUCACAAUUCUCAUUCAAAUAAAUUGCAUUUACAUUUAAAUUUAACAAUAAAUCCAUUCGGUAUUUAAAGAACAUAUAUGUCUUUUAGCACUAGCAGUAAUGGAGAGGCAUAAUUGUGCAAUCAGAUUUUAAUAAAUAGCAUAAUAUACACUGAACAGUAUUCAUUCUUUGGUAAAAACAAUUUUAAUUACAAAAUUUCAAAAUAAUGUCACAGUUUUCUCUGAGAAAAAAAACAUGCAUACAUCCUUUUUUGGUGUAGAAACUGAAACAAUACCAUCAAAUCUUCAGAAAAUUGUAUUUCUGCAUAACUGAAAGUUCAUGCAUGCAGAAUCUUACUGAAUAAUCUAUACAUAGAUUUAAUGUUUGCUGCAGAGGGAAACUCCUGCACUCACUAACCAGCUUCAUGUUUUUAAUGUACUAGGUUAGCAUUAAGGGAUUAUUAUUAGCACGGAGUAGUCUUGUUCCUCUCAGGUGAUGCAACAUUCACAGUUACUACUGUGAUCUGUGAGGAUGCAAGUGGGGGAAGGGGGUCACUCCCCCAUGAAACACAUUUUUAACGUAAUUUCAUAUUUUUUAUAUUGCUGCAACAUUUAAACAUUUCUUUCUGCCUUGAAUGAAGCUGAGCUCUCUUAAUUUUCUUGAUCAUUAUUUUUAAGCUUAAAACACUUGCAAAAACUUGAAUAACCUGUUACCAGUGUAAGGGCAUUAAAAAAAAAUAAAACACCAGAGCAAUACAAUUUUUAAGUCCACUUAUGAUUCCACUAUUGCUUCUACUACGAGGGGACAAAAGCAAAUACACAGAAGAUUGGAAUCUCUGAACUGCGUUCAAUGCAAAACACUUUUUAAAGUGUUUUUUUUUUCAGGGUGAGUAGCCCUCCUGCACCCCUCUGAUAUAGGGGAAAGUCUCCCUGAACUCAUAUAUGUCAACUCCAUGGUUGGAACAACUCAAAAUAGUUAGAACUUCUCCCCAAAACAGCAUCAUUGCUGAUGCAACUCAUCAACAAUGAAUUCCAAUGGAAGAAAUUCACUUGUCGAUGGUUUGAACCUCAAGCAAUUGAAGCUCAAGAGUUCAGUCUUCAUCCACAAGUAGGUUACCCUUGCAUUAUUCUGGUGUUUUUUUUUUUUGCUUUUUUUUAUCCUACUUUUCUACAUUAUGAGUUUUAGUUUGAGAAAAUUAUUUUUAUAUGGUUCUUAAACUGCAAGUUUUCUAAUGUAUAAUAACAAAGUUGUAUACCUAAUAUUCAAUUAGUAUAUUGCUAGAUUUUCUUGUCGAUAUUCUAACACACAGAAAGGCGCUUUAAUAAAGGAUCGACAACAACCUUGCUGCCAGGUUCUUAUGCAUGUCACAGUUUGCAUGUGCUAUUGCUGCUCACACUUCAAUUUGUAUUUGUUUUCAGCCAAUCAGACAAGGUGCAUCAGUCCUGCAGAGAGUGUGGAGCUGCAACACCUUUCAAACAUAUUCAAGUUUGAGAAAGGUAAAGACAGCAGCUGGGAGGAGGGGAGGGGUGGGAAUUUAGAUUAGGUUUAUUCAGUGAUCCAGACAGGACUUUAGGUUUUGAGUGCUAGAGGAGAACUUUGUUUCAUGGAAGAAGAUUUGUAAGGGUAGGGAGUAUAAUGAAAUUUAUGUUCUGGGAGUAAGAGAGGAAUUUUAAGGUUAGGGACUGACUGGGAAAAUUUAGGUUUAGGGAGUGAGAGGGAGUUUUAGGUUAAGAUUAGACAGCAAGAAAUCGGGUUAGGCAAAGGGACAAGGUGAGAGCUUUAAGGAUGGAGUUAGGGCUCUGGGAUGGAUAUGCACUUUAUUAUGGUCAGGUUGUAGGAAGGUUACGUUCUUACAAAAAUCAGUUUAGUGGGAGAUAGAGCACUUGCCAUUUAGAGCAAGUAUUAGAGCGGUUGCAUUUUACUACAAGUACAUGUGAGCACUUAUAGUAGACCCACAUUAACUUGGCAGUGCUUUAUGACUAUAUUGUUAGUUUUUCUUUUUGAUUUUGUAACAUGAAGAAAGAGUCUUCAUUGAAGUGUUAACCUGCAGAAUUUUAAGAGGUUUCUGACUGUAUACUCAGUUUAGUGUUCAACAUUCAAACUUUGUCACUGAAAAUACACAAGAAACCAUGGUUUAAGCCAGGCACAAAGCAUUAAGAAGAAAAUAUUGCUUGCACCCUACUUAGAAGACAUGAGGUCAUACUAGUCAAUCUGUAUAUAUCAACUAGACUAAUUCUGAAAUGCAACUCAGUUUUCUGUUCAUAAAUACAAACAAAAAUAAUAUAUUGGAAAUAGUGCCAAUACUUAUUUACAGAUGGGGCAAAUUAUAGCAGGCAUUCAGCAGUUUCUUAGGUUAAAACAUAACAUUUGUAAUGUGAAUUGCAACUUACAGACAUAAUAAAACUCUUCCUCAUGGAACACAAAGUUUAAGACUGAACAAAACAAAAA